rnacentral:rRNA from 1 species
AAACCAGCACCUCAAGUGGUCAGGAUGAUUAUUGGGCCUAAAGCAUCCGUAGCCGGCUCUGUAAGUUUUCGGUUAAAUCUGUACGCUCAACGUACAGGCUGUCGGGAAUACUGCAGAGCUAGGGAGUGGGAGAGGUAGACGGUACUCGGGAGGAAGUGGUAAAAUGCUUUGAUCUCUCGAUGACCACCUGUGGCGAAGGCGGUCUACCAGAACACGUCCGACGGUGAGGGAUGAAAGCUGGGGGAGCAAACCGGAUUAGAAACCCGGGUAGUCC